rnacentral:rRNA from 1 species
CCUACGGGUGGCUGCAGUGAGGAAUAUUGGUCAAUGGGCGCUAGCCUGAACCAGCCAAGUAGCGUGAAGGAUGACUGCCCUAUGGUUUGUAAACUUCUUUUAUAUGGGAAUAAAGUGCAGUAUGUAUACUGCUUUGCAUGUACCUUAUGUAUAAAGAUAGGCUAACUCCGUUCCAGCAGCCGCGGUAAUACGGAGGAUCCGAGCGUUGUCCGGAUUUAUUGGGUUUAAAGGGAGCGUAGGCGGGGUGUUAAGUCAGUUGUGAAAGUUUGCGGCUCAACCGUGAAAUUGCAGUUGAUUCUGGGAUACUUGAGUGCAGUAGAGGUAGGCGGAAUUCGAGGUGUAGCGGUGAAAUGCUUAGAUAUCACGAAGAACACCAAUGGCGAAGGCAGCCUGCUGGACUGUAACUGACGCUGAGGCUCGAAAGUGUGGGUAUCAAACAGGAUUAGAUACCCGAGUAGUC